rnacentral:lncRNA from 1 species
AAAAACAAAGGUUUCGAAAAAGGGUAGAAUUCAGCUAAAAGGAAUGAGUAGAAUUUUGACAUUAUGUACUUUGUGCCCACCAGAAGAAAACAGCCUAACCAAGCUCUACCUAAAUAAAAACAGAAUUGUAACUUUUUCAUGAACCAGCAGCAUGGGUUUGUGUUGUGCCAAUUUCAUUUAACUAUUGAGUGUUUGGUGACAGCUCCUAAUAAGGGGGAAACAGAAUCAGAAUAGGCAUCAGUCCUGCUGUGCUCGUGUCCUGCGCCGUAGAUGAUAAAGAGGCAUGCAGGCAGCGAUAAGAUAGGAUAUGUCAAACCCUGUAGGCGGCAAGCUUCAACGGUGCAGGGAGGAGGACAGCAAUCCAAACAAUGCCACCAACUGGUCAAAAUAAAAGGCUGGCCAUGUGCUGGAGAAGCCAGCCGCAAAUGGCCAAGAACAGGAAUCUACAGGUCGACAUUUUAUUUUCCGUGCAUGAAUGAACUUUCUGACCUGACAGUUCAUUUUCUGACGUAAAGGAUGCAAGAAGCAUACCGUGAGUGGCUGCCUGCGGUAGAGGAGGACGCUGCCGUAGACGAGGGCGAGGAGGAUGUAGUUCAGG